GUUAGUGUAGCCUGUGCUGAACCAGUGUUUCAGUCACACUCUGGGAAAGCUAAAGAGAACUGCGGUGAACGCCACAAGAUACUGGUGAGAGGCCACAAUCUCAAGCAUGGGUAUUAUAUAUUUAAGUAUGUGUAUGCACCUUCAAUCCGAAAAAAUCAGACCCA